GAAACAGGGGAGAAAGAAGGAGAAAAAGAAAGAAAAGAAAGAAAAGGGAAAAUUCAAGGUAAGCAAAGAAAAAUGGCAAAGACGACGGGAGUUAGCUCGAGAAAAUACGGUUAAGUAAAGAUAAAACGUUGAAUCAACAUCCUA